rnacentral:rRNA from 1 species
CCUACGGGAGGCAGCAGUGAGGAAUAUUGGACAAUGGAGGCAACUCUGAUCCAGCCAUGCCGCGUGCAGGAAGACUGCCCUAUGGGUUGUAAACUGCUUUUAUAGAGGAAGAAACCUCCCUUCGUGAAGGGAAUUGACGGUACUCUACGAAUAAGGAUCGGCCAACUCCGUGCCAGCAGCCGCGGUAAUACGGAGGAUCCAAGCGUUAUCCGGAAUCAUUGGGUUUAAAGGGUCCGUAGGCGGACUAAUAAGUCAGUGGUGAAAGUCUGCAGCUCAACUGUAGAAUUGCCAUUGAUACUGUUAGUCUUGAGUCAUUAUGAAGUGGUUAGAAUGAGUGGUGUAGCGGUGAAAUGCAUAGAUAUCACUCAGAAUACCGAUUGCGAAGGCAGAUCACUAAUAAUGUACUGACGCUGAUGGACGAAAGCGUAGGUAGCGAACAGGAUUAGAUACCCUGGUAGUCUACGCCGUAAACGAUGGUUACUAGCUGUUUGGUCGAUUGAGACUGAGUGGCUAAGCGAAAGUGAUAAGUAACCCACCUGGGGAGUACGUUCGCAAGAAUGAAACUCAAAGGAAUUGACGGGGGCCCGCACAAGCGGUGGAGCAUGUGGUUUAAUUCGAUGAUACGCGAGGAACCUUACCAGGGCUUAAAUGUAGUCUGACAGAUUUGGAAACAGAUUUUUCUUCGGACAGAUUACAAGGUGCUGCAUGGUUGUCGUCAGCUCGUGCCGUGAGGUGUCAGGUUAAGUCCUAUAACGAGCGCAACCCCUGUGGUUAGUUGCCAGCGAGUCAAGUCGGGAACUCUAGCCAGACUGCCGGUGCAAACCGUGAGGAAGGUGGGGAUGACGUCAAAUCAUCACGGCCCUUACGUCCUGGGCCACACACGUGCUACAAUGGUAGGGACAGAGAGCAGCCACUGGGCGACCAGGAGCGAAUCUUCAAACCCUAU